CAGUCGCCGCGGUAAUACGGAGGGAGCUAGCGUUGUUCGGAAUUACUGGGCGUAAAGCGCGCGUAGGCGGUUACUCAAGUCAGAGGUGAAAGCCCGGGGCUCAACCCCGGAACUGCCUUUGAAACUAGGUGACUAGAAUCUUGGAGAGGUCAGUGGAAUUCCGAGUGUAGAGGUGAAAUUCGUAGAUAUUCGGAAGAACACCAGUGGCGAAGGCGACUGACUGGACAAGUAUUGACGCUGAGGUGCGAAAGCGUGGGGAGCAAACAGGAUUAGAUACCCCGGAGUCCCUGUCUCUUAUACA
rnacentral:rRNA from 1 species